rnacentral:miRNA from 8 species
GCGCCUGACACUUUGACUCAAACCU